UACAGAGGUCUCAAGCGUUGUUCGGAUUCAUUGGGCGUAAAGGGUGUGUAGGUGGCGCCGUAAGUCGGGUGUGAAAUUUCGGAGCUUAACUCCGAAACUGCAUUCGAUACUGCGGUGCUUGAGGACUGGAGAGGAGACUGGAAUUCAUGGUGUAGCAGUGGAAUGCGUAGAGAUCGUGAGGAAGACCAGUGGCGAAGGCGGGUCUCUGGACAGUUCCUGACACUGAGGCACGAAGGCCAGGGGAGCAAACGGG
rnacentral:rRNA from 1 species